rnacentral:rRNA from 1 species
UACGGAGGAUGCGAGCGUUAUCCGGAUUUAUUGGGUUUAAAGGGUGCGUAGGCGGGAUGCCAAGUCAGCGGUAAAAAUGCGGUGCUCAACGCCGUCGAGCCGUUGAAACUGGCGUUCUUGAGUGGGCUAGAAGUAUGCGGAAUGCGUGGUGUAGCGGUGAAAUGCAUAGAUAUCACGCAGAACUCCGAUUGCGAAGGCGGCAUACCGGCGCCCUACUGACGCUGAGGCACGAAAGUGCGGGGAUCGAACAGG